CUUGGCAAAGAGUAACUCAUUUUGAUGCCUCGCGCUACCCCUGGCCUUAGUUUUAAAGGAAUCAUGCGACACACUCACACUCCACUACCCCAUCCCAUGGAAAAACGCUCCCACCAUCGAGGUGUUGACCAAAAUUUCGCUGUAUGCAUGAGACACACACUCGCACUCCUCCAGCCCUCCACAGCUGAACGCUCCCACCGUUGCGAAGUUGCGAGAAUUUUUGCUCUGAGCGUGAGACCCUGAUGCGCAAGAGAUGACACUAUGUGUAAAGACGAUCAUAAUUCGAUACGGUCAAAAUGCGUGGAUUGUCGUUUCAUUUAUCUGGUAAUGAUGAUUUCACUUCAUCAAAAUUAUAAACGUUCACAACUAGGCUGAUAACAAUAUUUGAAAUGUAAAUCAGAAUAAAAUCAAUUCAUUUGAAGUAAAAUAAAUACCAUUAUACUCUAUUUUGUCCAUACGAUCAACACUUGUACAUAGUGCCAUUUACUUUGUGUUCUUCACUCUCGCGCUGUGUUGUGAUCGUUCUAAACUCAUCGCCAGAACGAAUGCAAAUUUCAUAUGGGAAGGAUUGGUGCCGGUAGAUGCGAAAAUUAUUAAAUGUGAAUAGAAAAGUGGUUAAGUAAAUCGUGAAAGAUGUCAACGCAGGCGUAAAUGCAGUAUGUUUUGUUACAUGCUCUACGGGUAAGUGCAUGCAUAAGAAGAAGAAUCUUCCAAAUGAUGUUUGUGUUCUAACAAUCGUACUGCUUUCAAUGUUUGUUUAUUCUUCUAUUAUUUUCCAUCACACCUAGCUAUUUCAUUACCAAAGCUCUUGAUAACAGAUCAAAGCAGAUGGAUCGGGCAUACAGAGUCGCCGUUUAAUUUAAAAUAUCUUCGUGAUCGCAAACGCAUCAAACAGCAAAUGUUUUUCCUUCCAACAGCACGCACCAUCGGUGGUGCAGCAGCUAACGUUUUGUUCGCCUAGCGCGCACCAUCAAGAAUUGAUAUUUUGCCAAACAGUACUGUGAAUAAAAAACUGCACACUUACUGUAGGAA